AGUCGUAACAAGGUCUCCGUUGGUGAACCAGCGGAGGGAUCAUUACCGAGUUUACAACUCCCAAACCCAAUGUGAACGUUACCAAACUGUUGCCUCGGCGGGAUCUCUGCCCCGGGUGCGUCGCAGCCCCGGACCAAGGCGCCCGCCGGAGGACCAACCAAAACUCUUUUUGUAUACCCCCUCGCGGGUUUUUUAUAAUCUGAGCCUUCUCGGCGCCUCUCGUAGGCGUUUCGAAAAUGAAUCAAAACUUUCAACAACGGAUCUCUUGGUUCUGGCAUCGAUGAAGAACGCAGCGAAAUGCGAUAAGUAAUGUGAAUUGCAGAAUUCAGUGAAUCAUCGAAUCUUUGAACGCACAUUGCGCCCGCCAGUAUUCUGGCGGGCAUGCCUGUCCGAGCGUCAUUUCAACCCUCGAACCCCUCCGGGGGGUCGGCGUUGGGGAUCGGCCCUGCCUUUGGCGGUGGCCGUCUCCGAAAUACAGUGGCGGUCUCGCCGCAGCCUCUCCUGCGCAGUAGUUUGCACACUCGCAUCGGGAGCGCGGCGCGUCCACAGCCGUUAAACACCCAACUUCUGAAAUGUUGACCUCGGAUCAGGUAGGAAUACCCGCUGAACCUAAGCAUAUCAAUAA
rnacentral:misc_RNA from 1 species